GGACAUUCAGUUCAAGGCGGAAUUUUGGACCAUCAUAGUGGUGGAGAAUUGGCCUAAAGGAGUCCUCUUCAAGUGGUUCACAGAUUUUCCUUGUAAUAACCUGAACCUGCAGAGGAACAAAAACAUUAGUACUGCUUUUUUCUUUUUGUUUGCUUGAAAGAUAUUGAAAGCAUCAUUUUCAGAAAAAAAAAAAAACAACCAUAUUGUUUUUCAUAACAAAUAAUUUAUUCCUUAACAAAUACCUGAGCAGGGAAUCGAGAUUCGCCAGGGCAUUUCUUGUCCUCCCAGGCUGUUGGAUCAAUGUUUGUUCCUCCAAAGCUAGCAGCCUAAAUAGAAGAUCAUUAAAACAUCGUCAGAAGCGCAGUGAAGAACAAAUCACAGGUAAGAAAGCGCCCCUUUUAACGGAACUAUAAAACUAUAAACCACCCUAAAGUGAAACUAAUGUUCUGUCCACAGUCAUAUUUACGUGUGCACUUGUAAAAUUCACAAGUUGUAGAAGUCCAUGGUUGUCCUUAAACGACUUAAAAAAAGUUAUGACUUUAUCAAAUCCUUGGAUUGGGUGGAAAUCGAACUAAUCAAAUGUUAACAGAUAAUCAGAAAGUAGUUAAAAAAGGGUAAUAGGAGAAAACAGAAAUACAAACCUCAAAUACUCCAUGGAGUUGGUGGGUGGAGUAGUUGUAGAGGAAAAGAGGCAGGCCAGGCGUUAUCGCCCUGACUGAAUCUCGGUAACGUGGAGGCAAACCUACAAAUAAUGCAUAACAACAAUUUAGGAAUAUAAAUCAACAUAAAUAUUACAUCAAAAAUUCCAUAAAAUUUUAACUUAACCAAAUUGUUUCAUUAAUCUAACUGAUUUACUUUCAAUUUCUAGAGCAGGGAUUAGUAUUGGCAUAAUCAUCUCCAAAAAAUAAUAGAAAAUCAAGAUUCAAAACCAAAUUAAACCCAGACUAUUUUUCUUUCCAAUAAAAAAAAUAGUAAGGAAGAGAAAGUGAGCGAAUGACAUACCGAAGAGCUGUCUCCUGAGAUUCUCCUGCAUGGUAUCGUUGUUGCAAACAAAGAUGUAACCGCCAACAGUUUCAUUCCUAGGCAAAGACUCAGAUGGUGGCAGUGUCUUAAACCUCUUGUCAACAACAUUCUUCCCAUCCUUAUUUUCAUUGUUAUUAUUGUCGCUGUUAUUGUUAUUGUUCUUCUUGUUACUAUUCUUCUUCCCACUUUUGCUUCCGUGAUCAUCCUCUCCUUUAUUCUUAUUCCCCUUCAAAUUAAAAUUAAAAUUAUUGUUAUUCGCUGGCUUUGAAUAAACCCCUUUGUUGAAUCCUCCGUUGAUUCCAACAUUCAUCUGAGACCCCAUCGGACCAAUUGGACCGAACCCGAUGUUGCUGUUGAUACUGGCUCCAAUUUUCCAUCCAUCAUUGUUGAAAGAAUUGAAAUCAGAGACCUUUGGCUUCAAGUUGUUAACAGAAUUCAAUUCACCACCGACUCUGAUAUCAAAAUUCCUCCUUUCAUCAGGCCUCUUUGUAACAAAAUUGUUGCUCCAUAUCGAAUCGUUGAGAGAAAGAUUAGCCAAGUUCGAAUUUUGGACCCUAAGUUGAUCACUGAAUUGCCAAA
rnacentral:lncRNA from 1 species